rnacentral:rRNA from 1 species
UACGUAGGGGGCUAGCGUUGUCCGGAUUUAUUGGGCGUAAAGAGCGUGUAGGCGGCCAAGUAGGUCCGGUGUGAAAACUCGAGGCUUAACCUCGAGAUGUCAUCGGAAACCAUUUGGCUAGAGUCCGGAAGAGGAAAGUGGAAUUCCUGGUGUAGCGGUGAAAUGCGCAGAUAUCAGGAGGAACACCCGGUGGCGAAGGCGGCCAACUGGACGAAUACUGACGCUGAGACUCGAAAGCGUGGGGAGCAAACAGG